UUGGUGCUAAAAGGCGGCCCGGGGUAGUGGUCAGUCGAGAUAGCAUAGAGAGUCUUCGAAUUAUAGAUCGUCAAGAUUACACUGAACAACAACUUACCUUGUUCUGUUUCACUGGGCGUGUAUGUUCCUGCUUGGCUAGAAACUAACCGAAUGUGUGUAGAAUUUUUAUUUAUUAAUUAUAAUUCCAAAGAGGCAGGUCGAAGCCGCUGAAAUAAGUGGCAGCCCAGGGUGGAUGGGUGGUUUUGUAUGGGUGUGCACGGCUGUCUCUGGGCAUUGUCCUCUCGUUAAUGGGAAACUCACAUUUCUGGAGUGCUAGGGAGCCCGGCUCGGUGGGCGAGUGUGAUUCGACCUGGCUAUGCCAUUCGGAACCGGAGCAGUAUCCAGCAGAGGACCAGGAGACGUCAGCCUCUGACGGAGAGAGAAAGACAGACAAGAGCAGAAGAGGAUGGAUGGGAUCAGUGGUGCUGGAAGAGCACAGCAAUUCAGGCAGCAUCCGAGGACAGAGCAGAAGAGCCAGGAGCAGGUGUUUAUAUUGAUGAGAUAUUCACGAAGUCGAAAGGAGAUCAUGACAAGCUGAAACAUAACCACACCUGCGAGCAGCAGCGGAGGUAAGACGAACCCGGAAGACUGCAGCUAAGGUAAGGCAGUUUUUUUUAAAAUUACUUACCGGUAGCAGACAGCGGUAUUUUCCCUUUCGCAGAAGGAGCAGGAGCAGUGGGAGAAGUGACGAGGACCAGAGGGGCAGCCGGGAAGGAAAGCAGUGAGUAUAAAUACUCGCCCUUCGACGCCAACGGCCAUUUUGAGUGCAAGCAACAGCGGAGAAGGAGCGGGAGCAGCGGGGGAAGUGAUGAGGACCAGAGCAGCAGCCAGGAAGGAAAGCAGUGACCAUAUAUAUCAGCAAGGCGGCUAAACCCGAGACUCUACAACUGUAGAGUCUCCCACC